GCUCCAAUAGCGUAUAUUAAAGUUGUUGCAGUUAAAACGCUCGUAGUCGGAUUUCGGGGCGGGUGUGCCGGUCUGCCGAUGGGUAUGCACUGGCGGGUCCGUCCUUCCUUCCGGAGGCCGUUCCUACUCUUAGCUGAGCGGGUUUGGUAGACGGAAAGUUUACUUUGAAAAAAUCAGAGUGUUUCAAGCAGGCAGCUCGC
rnacentral:rRNA from 1 species